AGUAACACGUGGGUGAUCUGCCCUGCACUUCGGGAUAAGCUUGGGAAACUGGGUCUAAUACCGGAUAAUAUUUUGAACCGCAUGGUUCAAAAGUGAAAGACGGUCUUGCUGUCACUUAUAGAUGGAUCCGCGCUGCAUUAGCUAGUUGGUAAGGUAACGGCUUACCAAGGCAACGAUGCGUAGCCGACCUGAGAGGGUGAUCGGCCACACUGGAACUGAGACACGGUCCAG
rnacentral:rRNA from 1 species